UCCUAAAACUCAAACAAAUGGAAUUAAAGGACGACAACAAGAUAGAUACAACUACCAACUCCACGGAACCGAGUCCGGAAUACAACAGAACAGUAAAGGGACAACCGGGAUCGCUAUACUAGUUAUGCUAUUGCCAUGUAGUUGGGACGAAUGUUGCUGACAUUAGCAUUUGGGAAGUUGGAUCUUGAGAAAGGUUAGCACAUAAACUCUUCCAGGUUUGGGAUCUCUCAGCUUGUUCAAUGCCAUUGCAGGUAAAAAUUUCAUUGGUAUUAGCUACCUUUAACAUGUUAUCUGUGGUAUCUUACCAUUUUUAUGUAAAAAAAUUUAUAAUUUCUAGACAGUUUGGUGAAAGAUGCCACCAUAUCUAUCAAUUGAUGCAUUUGGGGCCCAGAUGGAUCUAUACUUGGUGUUGCUUUCUCAAGAACAUUGUUCAGAUAUUUACUUACAAUAGCAGGAGAAUUAAGACAACAUUUGGAAAUUGAUGCUCAUGUUGGUGGUGUUAAUGAUAUUGCCUUUGCUCAUCCUAAUAAGCAACUUUGUAUUGUCACAUGUGGUGAUGACAAGACAAUUAAGGUGUGGGAUGCUGUAACUGGACGCGGGCAAUAUAUAUUUGAAGGCCAUGAAACUCCUGUAUAUUCUGUCUGACCCAUUAUAAGGAGAAUAUUCAGUUUAUUUUUUCCACUGCCAUUGAUGGGAAAAUUAAAGCAUGGCUCUAUGAUUUCUUAGAAUCAAGAGUGGAUUAUGAUGCCCCUGGACUUUGGUGCACUGCAAUGGCAUAUAGCGCUGAUGGAACUAGAUCUUACUUUUCUCAAAACCCAGCUCUGACUAGUGCCUUCUUAUUCUUUUGUCUUCUUCACUUGAAUUAUAUGGAGCCAACAUGAUGAGUUGGAGGCAAAGUUUUUCGAGGAGAGAGCAGCCUUUGAAGCUAAAUACCAAAGCACACUUCAUAUAUAUAUAUAUAUAUAUAUUGUUACAAUGAGAAAAUAUUAGCAAUUUUUUAUUUUUAUUUUUAUUUUUAUUUUUUUUGUAUUGAGUUAACA